rnacentral:rRNA from 1 species
AUUGAACGCUGGCGGCAUGCCUUACACAUGCAAGUCGAACGGCAGCACGGGAGCAAUCCUGGUGGCGAGUGGCGAACGGGUGAGUAAUAUAUCGGAACGUGCCCAGUCGUGGGGAUAACGUAGCGAAAGCUACGCUAAUACCGCAUACGAUCUAUGGAUGAAAGCGGGGGAUCGCAAGACCUCGCGCGAUUGGAGCGGCCGAUAUCAGAUUAGGUAGUUGGUGAGGUAAAGGGCUCACCAAGCCGACGAUCUGUAGCUGGUCUGAGAGGACGACCAGCCACACUGGGACUGAGACACGGCCCAGAC